rnacentral:rRNA from 1 species
AUGUUGAAUGGUGUCAUUCUUAAAAUAGAUUUUGAAAAAGCCUAUGACAAGGUUAAGUGGCCCUUUUUGUUGCGAACUUUGUGCAUGAAGGGGUUUUCACAAAAAUGGUGUCAUUGGGUAGAGAACUUUGUAUCUGGAGGCAGUGUGGCCAUAAAAGUUAAUGAUGACGUUGGCAACUAUUUUCGGACAAGGAAGGGGUUUCUCCAAGGGGACCCCGCUUCUCCUAUUUUGUUUAACAUUGUGGCCGACAUGCUAGCUACCCUUGUUGAGCGGGCUAAGCUGGCCGGUCAAAUUAGUGGUGUUAUUCCACACUUGGUAGAAAAUGGUCUAUCUAUUCUACAAUAUGCGGAUGACACUAUUCUAUUCAUGGAUCAUGAUCUAGAUAAGGCAAGAAAUCUCAAGUUGCUCUUAUGUGCUUUCGAGGAACUUUCUGGUCUCAAAAUUAAUUUUCAUAAGAGUGAACUUUUUUGCUUUGGAGAUCCUGUAGAAUCAGCAGAGUAUGUCGAGAUUUUUGGAUGCCAGCUUGGGCAGUUUCUGAUUCGAUAUUUGGGUAUUCCCAUACACUAUCAGCGCUUAACUAUCACUGAGUGGAAGCAUGUGGAAGAGAGACUUGAGAAACGCUUAGCCAGUUGGAAGGCCAAGCUCUUGUCUUACGGGGGACGAUUGAUCUAG